CACCAAACCCAAACUCUACGCAUGCACCUACGCGCACUACGCUGGUCGAAAUAGUGGCGCCGCCGUUGAUUACGGGAAGGUGUUUACGUAGGUGGUCCGUUCAAUGCAGUAGGCUGAGAGAAAGUGAAAAUGGAACUCGUGAGCAGAAAAGGGAGUUAUAUUAACUAACUAAAGUUCGGGAGGAAGUUAGCGCACCAAGAUUCCUCCUCUACUCCAUUCAAGCAACUCGCAAAAGCACGGAAGAAUGCGCACCAACUCCAAUCAACUUCAUACGCAUCAACUCCCCGUAUCAAUUACGAGGCUCCCCGGGGGAUCCGAUCGAGCCGCUGCUCGGCCGUGACCCAUAAGGACUCUCCGCCAUACCCCGAGUCCAUACCCGGAACCCAGGCCCGGCUCUGCUACCGCCCUCCAUCAGCACCAGGCUCGGCUCUGCUACCAGCCUGCGACACCCUGCAUUAGGCUUGGCUCUGCUACCAGCCUCAGGCUUGGC